rnacentral:lncRNA from 1 species
UUUUUCCCCCUCGCAGAUGUGAUCAGUCCACCAAUGUUUGAAUUGCUUGAUCACCAAUGACUAAAGCAUGACACCGUGGAACUGAAGAGUAUAAGUGAUCCAGAUUCUGCAGAGGGUAAACUUCGACUUUAUUCACGAUAUCAUUUGAGGAAGGAUUGAAUGGAGUUGACAAACUUCAACAUGGUCAAGUUGU